CGCUGAGAGCGGAGCCGCGCCGCUGUCACAGUACAGCCAGUGCCAGACAUGGCGGCGGAGCUACAGCCCGAGUGGAUAUCGUGUCUGCCGUCUACAUGGAGUUACGGGGUCACUCGGGAUGGACGCGUCUUCUUCGUCAACGAAGAAGCCAAGAGUACAACCUGGCUGCAUCCCGUGAGCGGCGAGGCGCUGAUCACCGGCCACAGGAAAACUCCAGAUCUACCCACGGGAUGGGAAGAAGGAUACACGUUUGAGGGGGCACGGUGCUUCAUCAA